rnacentral:rRNA from 1 species
CGCGAAUGGCUCAUUACAACAGCUAAAAUCUACUUGAUCUUGACACAAUCCUACUUGGAUAACUGUGGUAAUUCUAGAGCUAAUACAUGCAUUAAAGCUCUGACCUUAGGGGAAGAGUGCAUUUAUUAGAACAAAACCAAGCGGCUUCGGCUGUUUUCGGUUGACUCAUAGUAACUGAGCUGAUCGCAUGGUCUUGCGCCGGCGACGUGUCUUUCGAGUAUCUGCCGUAUCAACUUUCGAUGGUAGUGUAUCUGACUACCAUGGUGAUCACGCGUAACGGAGAAUAAGGGUUCGACUCCGGAGAGUUCGCCUGAGAAAUCGCGAACACAUCUAAGGAAGGCGGCAGGCGCGAAAAUUACCCACUCUCAGCACGAGGAGGUAGUGACGAAAAAUAACGAGACCGUUCUCUUAUGAGGCCGGUCAUCGGAAUGGGUACAAUUUAAACCCUUUAACGAGUAUCUAUGAGAGGGCAAGUCUGGUGCCAGCAGCCGCGGUAAUUCCAGCU